CCAGUACAUCCGGGUCCUCCCGCACGAUAUCUUCGCUUCCCGUGGCGUUGCUUUCCCGCCACAGCUGAGUGAGCCGUCACAGCCUGGGGAGAAGCUGGGUUCCUGCUGCACGUGGUGUGGAGGACGGAAGCGCCUGGGGGAGGAGUUCACGGACAUCUGAAAGCAAGGACAGGUGAGAGACUUCCAUUAUGGCUGUGGAGACUGCUGAUAGUAGCUGCAGGGAAUGGAUUCCAUGAGCUCUUCCUGUCAGGACUGAAAAUAAGCAACCCUGGAGAGCUGCCUCUUCAACUCAAUUCUGCGGAGAAGCCAUUUGACUGCACAUCUCACAGCUAGAGAUUUCUGGCGCUCCCCCAGAGGAAGAACAAGCCAGGGCUACAAAGUGCAGAGCACCAACACAAUGUGAGCAGGAAAACAGGCUAUUUCGGGCUCUUCUUUGGAAAGUGGUAAGUGAAAAAGAGUAGCCCUUUUGGAAAGGAUUUUCCAAGUGCGUAAGUUAUUCUUUCCCUUUAAAUUUUCCUAUUUAUUCCCUAUUAUUCCCUCUCCCAGUUUAGCCCCUCUGUCAACACAUACCAAAAUGAAUAACACUGGUGACAAGUAAGAGUCAGAAGAAUGUAUUCUUCUAUAUUAUGUUUUGACUCAUUACACCAAAGAGGAAAAAAAAAUCUUAAAUUCUUGGGGAAUUUUGUAUCUGAGCAAAAUGAUAUGAAACUUCUUACCUCACA